rnacentral:tRNA from 1 species
GCCCCUUUAACUCAGUGGUAGAGUAACGCCAUGGUA